rnacentral:ncRNA from 2 species
AAUUUAAUAAAUAUAUAAAUUCGUAUAAUCAUGGGAAUAUGGCCCAUAAGUUUCUACCGAGCUACCGUUAAUAGCUUGACUACGGAUAUGAAUGAUACUGCC